GCGAUUUCCUCUUAUCUAGGUCCCCUGCAUAGUCUAAGUCUACAAACCCAUAUAGUUCUAACUCAGUAGACUUAGGAUGUUUGUUGUGCAAUCCUUUGUUUAUCGAUCCACAUAGGUAACGAAAAACCCAAUUGGUAGCUUCCCAAUGAUUCUUCCCUAGGUUUCCAUAUAUCUACUUAUUAGGCUAGAACAAUAUGCUAGAUCAGGUCUUGUGCACAUCAUUAGAUACGUGAGACUCCUUGUGGCAUUAGAGUAUAGUACUCUCUCCAUUCUUUGAGCUUCUUCACUGUCUUUGGGUAAAUCCUUUGUUAAAAGUUUAAAAUGUUGAGCUAAAGAUGUACUCAUUGACUUAGCUUCGAACAUAUUAAACUUCUUCAAGAUUUUCUUAGUGCAGUCACUUUGGCAUACAUAUAAAUCACCCAAUGAUCUAAUCCUUAUGAUCUUCAUCCCAAGAAUUUUGUUUGCAAGCCCAAGGUCUUUCAUCUCGAACUCUUUAGACAUUAAUCUCUUUACUUUGUUCAAUUCUCUAAUAUCCUUCCCUGCCAUUAACAUAUCAUCUACAUAUAGUAGAAGAUAUA
rnacentral:misc_RNA from 1 species